rnacentral:rRNA from 1 species
CCUUCGAUAGUAAAGUCGCAAGACGUCUUUGAGGAGGGGCCUAGUCGGCCUAUCAGCUUGUUGGUGAGGUAACGGCUCACCAAGGCUAUGACGGGUAGGGGGUGUGAGAGCACGACCCCCCUCACUGGGACUGAGACACUGCCCAGACACCUACGGGUGGCUGCAGUCGAGAAUAUUCCCCAAUGGCCGAAAGGCUGAGGGAGCGACGCCGCGUGCAGGAAUAAGGCCUUCGGGUCGUAAACUGCUUUUGCCGAGGAAGAAUCAUGACGGUACUCGGAGAAUAAGAGGUUGCUAACUCUGUG